GAAUGGGGUUAGUGCCCUACAUUAGGUCCCGGUCAAUGGGAUUAGUGCACUACAUUAGGUCCCGGUCAAUGGGGUUAGUGCCCUACAUUAGGUCCCGGUCAAUGGGGUUAGUGCCCUACAUUAGGUCCCGGUCAAUGGGGUUAGUGCACUACAUUAGGUCCCGGUCAAUGGGAUUAGUGCACUACAUUAGGUCCCGGUCAAUGGGAUUAGUGCCCUACAUUAGGUCCCGGUCAAUGGGAUUAGUGCACUACAUUAGGUCCCGGUCAAUGGGAUUAGUGCACUACAUUAGGUCCCGGUCAAUGGGAUUAGUGC